rnacentral:rRNA from 1 species
AGUGAACGCUGGCGGCGUGCCUACUCCAUGCAAGUCGAACGAAGUGGCGCACGGGUGAGUAAUAUAUAGUUAAUCUGCCCUACACAGAGGAACAACAGUUGGAAACGACUGCUAAUACCUCAUAUUGUAGGCUGAGACUAUAUCGUAUCAGCUAGUUGGUAAGGUAAUGGCUGACCAAGGCUAUGACGCGUAACUGGUCUGAGAUGAUGAUCAGUCACAUUGGAACUGAGACACGGGGCAAACUCAUACGGGAGGCAGCAGUAAGGAAUAUUGCGCAAUGGGGGAAACCCUGACGCAGCAACGCCGCGUGGAGGAUGACACGUUUCGGAGCGUAAACUCCUUUUAUCAGGAAAGCGGUACCUGAUGAAUAAGCACCGGCUAACUUCGUGCCAGCAGCCGCGGUAAUAC